rnacentral:rRNA from 1 species
UACGUAGGGAGCAAGCGUUGUCCGGCAUCAUUGGGCGUAAAGCGCGCGUAGGUGGCCUCAUAAGUCCGCUGUGAAAGUCAAAGGCUCAACCUUUGAAAGCCGGUGGAUACUGUGGGGCUAGAGUACGGAAGAGGCAAUCGGAAUUCUCGGUGUAGCGGUGAAAUGCGUAGAUAUCGAGAGGAACACCAGAGGUGAAGACGGGUUGCUGGGCUGACACUGACGCUGAGGCGCGAAAGCGUGGGGAGCGAACAGG